GGGAAUGGCAAAAUACUCCAUCUAUAGUGCAAACUACGAAAUUGCUUUGUAAAAUGCCCCAAGGAUGAUUGGGUAACAUUUAAAAUAGCAUGGGGAAAAAAAUCUUUUCUGGUUGUUACCUGACACGUUUUGGGCAAGAUUAAAAGCAUAGGCUAUUCUGUUUUAUUUCCAGAAGGGGCUAUCAAGCCUUAGAUCUAUGUGGUCCAAAGACUACAGAUAUAAGAGAAGUCUCUCUCCCCCUCCCCCAGCUACUUGCUCCUGGCUGUGGAAGUCGUGUGAAGAGUGAUCUCCUGCUCCCAUGCCUUGCAUCCUUGAUGGGUUGCAUCUCCCCACACUCUAAGCCCUGAUAAACCCCCUUUCCCUAAGUUGCUUCUCAUCAGGUAUUCGAUAACAAGUCACAAGGAAAAUAAUCAAUUCAUGACAGAAAGACUUAAUGCAGAGAUGGAUCCUUCAAGUCCACUGAGCAAAUUAGCAUGGGAGGAAGCAGUCUGGGGGGCCCGGUUCCGGUAGCCUGUUGCACAGAGAGCAUCCGCCUACCAGGGUGUCCCUCCUUUUGUCAUUGUGGAAUGAAGUUGCCAUCUACAAGUUCACUCUUCAAAACUAUACAUCUGAGCUACAGAUCAACCACUCCUGCCCUAAAAUGUUUUAAGUGAGUUUAAAACAGCAUUCACGGUGCUCUUUGCCUGCACAUGGCCCUGACUCACAGGCUAGACACGCCUACAUUCACUGUCAGCCCUCUGGAUGGAUAUUGCCGUAUCAGGCUGGGCCCAUGAUAUGUGGAAGAGAACUCCCGAGAACGAGACACUGCAUAGUCCAAGGAAGGCAGGGCUGAGUCUGAGAAGACAGUGAGCAUUUAAAACCUACCCUUUCCCCAUUCUCCGAGAGAGAAAGAAGGGCAUAGAAUGAAUAGAACAAGAUCAGUUCUCUUUUCUAGCCUACAGUUUUCUUCUCGCUUCCAAUGGGAGACGCGCUUAUUGAACAUCUAUGCUCCAAUGCUGUGAGAUCUUGCUAAAGAAAGAAGUAUGGAAAGGCAGGGGUCCUUUUGUGAUGGGAGUUCUAACGGGAAGAGAAAAGCACAGAGCUCAAGACCCUGUUGCAUAGGGCCCACCUAGUCAAUAAGAAGGCGGUACCUGGGUGCCUCCCGUGAGGAGAACGUGGUUCUUCAGAAAGGACCAGAAGGACGUGUGAAGAAAGUCGUGCUCUGAACUGGCUUUGAGACACAAUGGUGCCCAACUAGUGGGGGGAGGCUGAGGCUUGGGUAUGCCAUGCCUGGAAGUCCGAACAGCUUGGAGGCUUUGGGAAAGAAAGUUAAGGGGUAUGACUGAGAAACAGCUCUAGAGGAGCAAGACUCUACAACAAUCAUCUUUUCUGCCGUCGCUGCCAAGUCUGUCCCCUGUGUAGGUGGCCUCUGCUCCCGUAUUAGGGAGGAUACAGAAACCCCAAGAGUGUUGAGAAGCCAGCAGUUGCAUCUAAGCUCCCUGGACUUUGGUUCUGCGAGUGGAGGAAUGGAAGGAAGUAAAAAAGAAACACAUGACCUGGUUGCUAGCACAUUAAGCAUCAGAACCAGCACCCCCAGGCUUCCACUGUGAACCAAGGACCAACAGAUCCUUGAUGAUCUUCAACAUCAGACGGGAACUGCUGGGGCACCCAGGCUUGUGGACUGAGAAACUAUUGCAUUGUUAGCCUCUCUGGGAUGAAAAAGCCACCGUGGGACGGCUUUGAACCACUGAGGAACCAGCCUCGAGGACCACACAGCAGGGCCAGAGGGCCCUGACUCGGAGAUGUUAAACCGGCCUGCUGCAGCGGAUCUACACUACUUACUUGGUGGCUUCUUUAAACAGAAGGAACCUCUAUGUGCUGCUGAUGGGCUGUGAGCUGUCACAGCCACUGUGGGAAUCCGGAGAGGGGUCUCUCUGAAGUCCUGCUGAGUCUCCCCACCUCGCUGACUGAAUAAACUGCUUCUGUCACACGUUC